UGGCUCCUUUGUCAAAAAUCAAGUGCCCAU
rnacentral:piRNA from 1 species